rnacentral:rRNA from 1 species
GAGGGAAAGGCGAAAAGAACCCCGGCGAGGGGAGUGAAAAAGAACCUGAAACCGUGUACGUACAAGCAGUGGGAGCACAGGUUUACCUGUGUGACUGCGUACCUUUUGUAUAAUGGGUCAGCGACUUAUAUUCUGUAGCAAGGUUAACCGAAUAGGGGAGCCGGAGGGAAACCGAGUCUUAAUUGGGCGUUAAGUUGCAGGGUAUAGACCCGAAACCCGGUGAUCUAGCCAUGGGCAGGUUGAAGGUUGGGUAACACUAACUGGAGGACCGAACCGACUAAUGUUGAAAAAUUAGCGGAUGACCUGUGGCUGGGGGUGAAAGGCCAAUCAAACCGGGAGAUAGCUGGUUCUCCCCGAAAGCUAUUUAGGUAGCGCCUCGUGAAUUCAUCUCCGGGGGUAGAGCACUGUUUCGGCUAGGGGGCCAUCCCGGCUUACCAACCCGAUGCAAACUGCGAAUACCGGAGAAUGUUAUCACGGGAGACACACGGCGGGUGCUAACGUCCGUCGUGAAGAGGGAAACAACCCAGACCGCCAGCUAAGGUCCCAAAGUCAUGGUUAAGUGGGAAACGAUGUGGGAAGGCCCAGACAGCCAGGAUGUUGGCUUAGAAGCAGCCAUCAUUUAAAGAAAGCGUAAUAGCUCACUGGUCGAGUCGGCCUGCGCGGAAGAUGUAACGGGGCUAAACCAUGCACCGAAGCUGCGGCAGCGA